rnacentral:rRNA from 1 species
UACGGGAGGCAGCAGUAGGGAAUCUUCCGCAAUGGACGAAAGUCUGACGGAGCAACGCCGCGUGAGUGAUGAAGGUUUUCGGAUCGUAAAGCUCUGUUGUUAGGGAAGAACAAGUGCAAGAGUAACUGCUUGCACCUUGACGGUACCUAACCAGAAAGCCACGGCUAACUACGUGCCAGCAGCCGCGGUAAUACGUAGGUGGCAAGCGUUGUCCGGAAUUAUUGGGCGUAAAGGGCUCGCAGGCGGUUUCUUAAGUCUGAUGUGAAAGCCCCCGGCUCAACCCGGGGAGGGUCAUUGGAAACUGGGAAACUUGAGUGCAGAAGAGGAGAGUGGAAUUUCCACGUGUAGCGGUGAAAUGCGUAGAGAUGUGGAGGAACACCAGUGGCGAAGGCGACUCUCUGGUCUGUAACUGACGCUGAGGAGCGAAAGCGUGGGGAGCGAACAGGAUUAGAUACCCUGGUAGUCCACGCCGUAAACGAUGAGUGCUAAGUGUUAGGGGGUUUCCGCCCCUUAGUGCUGCAGCUAACGCAUUAAGCACUCCGCCUGGGGAGUACGGUCGCAAGACUGAAACUCAAAGGAAUUGACGGGGGCCCGCACAAGCGGUGGAGCAUGUGGUUUAAUUCGAAGCAACGCGAAGAACCUUACCAGGUCUUGACAUCCUCUGACAACCCUAGAGAUAGGGCUUUCCCUUCGGGGACAGAGUGACAGGUGGUGCAUGGUUGUCGUCAGCUCGUGUCGUGAGAUGUUGGGUUAAGUCCCGCAACGAGCGCAACCCUUGAUCUUAGUUGCCAGCAUUCAGUUGGGCACUCUAAGGUGACUGCCGGUGACAAACCGGAGGAAGGUGGGGAUGACGUCAAAUCAUCAUGCCCCUUAUGACCUGGGCUACACACGUGCUACAAUGGACAGAACAAAGGGCUGCGAGACCGCAAGGUUUAGCCAAUCCCACAAAUCUGUUCUCAGUUCGGAUCGCAGUCUGCAACUCGACUGCGUGAAGCUGGAAUCGCUAGUAAUCGCGGAUCAGCAUGCCGCGGUGAAUACGUUCCCGGGCCUUGUACACACCGCCCGUCACACCACGAGAGUUUGCAACACCCGAAGUCGGUGAGGUAACCUUUAU